GACGAACGCUGGCGGCGUGCUUAACACAUGCAAGUCGAACGAAAAGAGGGAAAGAGCUUGCUCUUUCCGGAAUUGAGUGGCAAACGGGUGAGUAACACGUAAACAACCUGCCUUCAGGAUGGGGACAACAGACGGAAACGACUGCUAAUACCGAAUAAGUUCCAAGAGCCGCAUGGCCCAUGGAAGAAAAGGUGGCCUCUACCUGUAAGCUAUCGCCUGAAGAGGGGUUUGCGUCUGAUUAGCUGGUUGGAGGGGUAACGGCCCACCAAGGCGACGAUCAGUAGCCGGUCUGAGAGGAUGAACGGCCACACUGGAACUGAGACACGGUCCAGACUCCUACGGGAGGCAGCAGUGGGGAAUCUUCCGCAAGGGGCGAAAGCCUGACGGAGCAACGCCGCGUGAGGGAUGACGGCCUUCGGGUUGUAAAACUCUGUGAUCCGGGACGAAAAGGCAGAGUGCGAAGAACAAACUGCAUUGACGGUACCGGAAAAGCAAGCCACGGCUAACUACGUG
rnacentral:rRNA from 1 species